GAUGAACGCUGGCGGCGUGCCUAAUACAUGCAAGUCGAGCGAACGGACGAGAAGCUUGCUUCUCUGACGUUAGCGGCGGACGGGUGUGUAACACGUGGAUAGCCUACCUAUAAGACUGGGAUAACUUCGGGAAACCGGAGCUAAUACCGGAUAAUAUUUUGAACCGCAUGGUUCAAAAGUGAAAGACGGUCUUGCUGUCACUUAUAGCUGGAUCCGCGCUGCAUUAGCUAGUUGGUAAGGUAACGGCUUACCAAGGCAACGAUGCAUAGCCGACCUGAGAGGGUGAUCGGCCACACUGGAACUGAGACACGGUCCAGACUCCUACGGGAGGCAGCAGUAGGGAAUCUUCCGCAAUGGGCGAAAGCCUGACGGAGCAACGCCGCGUGAGUGAUGAAGGUCUUCGGAUCGUAAAACUCUGUUAUUAGGGAAGAACAUAUGUGUAAGUAACUGUGCACAUCUUGACGGUACCUAAUCAGAAAGCCACGGCUAACUACGUG
rnacentral:rRNA from 1 species